CCUAGAGGCUAAAUGCCAGGGGGAUG
rnacentral:piRNA from 1 species